GUAGUUGACUCCGUCGGCUCGACGGACGACGCUGGCGGCGUGCUUAACACAUGCAAGUCGAACGGUGAAGCCCAGCUUGCUGGGUGGAUCAGUGGCGAACGGGUGAGUAACACGUGAGCAACCUGCCCUUCACUUCGGGAUAAGCCUUGGAAACGGGGUCUAAUACCGGAUAUGAGCGCUCAUCGCAUGGUGGGUGUUGGAAAGGUUUUUCGGUGAGGGAUGGGCUCGCGGCCUAUCAGCUUGUUGGUCGGGGUAACGGCCUACCAAGGCGUCGACGGGUAGCCGGCCUGAGAGGGCGACCGGCCACACUGGGACUGAGACGCGGCCCAGACUCCUACGGGAGGCAGCAGUGGGGAAUAUUGCACAAUGGGCGAAAGCCUGAUGCAGCGACGCCGCGUGAGGGAUGACGGCCUUCGGGUUGUAAACCUCUUUCAGCAGGGAAGAAGCGCAAGUGACGGUACCUGCAGAAGAAGCGCCGGCUAACUACGUG
rnacentral:rRNA from 1 species